AUGUUGCCUUACCACCCUAACCCUCACGGCUUCUGGAUCUCCCGAGAACCGCCCGCGCAGGUGCCAAACCCUGCCAGCGGCUUCGCCAUGGCGCCUCCCGCGCAUCUGGACCAUCAGAUUCAGCACUACGACCACUUCUUCCCCGGCCACGGCAAUCAGUUCAACUCCGAGACGCUGGAGGCGGUGCUCAUGAGGCCACGUCCGCCGGCUCCUCCUCUGGUGGAGAUGCCGCCGGCGAACGAGGCAAGAACCGGCGCAGUGCAGGCCGCCGGCACCGGACACGCCAGGGCCAGGAAGAGGCCGUUCAGGACGGACCGGCACAGCAAGAUCCGGACGGCGCAGGGCGUCCGGGACCGCCGGAUGCGGCUCUCCCUCGACGUCGCGCGUGACUUCUUCGCGCUGCAGGACCAGCUUGGCUUUGACAAGGCCAGCAAGACGGUGGACUGGCUGCUCACCCAGUCCAAGCCAGCCAUCGACCGCCUAUCCGAGUCCUCUCGGCUCAACGCCGCUAGAGCGGGAGAAGAUGGCAUGUCGUCGCUAUCAUCGGUGGAGCGUGAAGGCCGCCGGCUCAAGGAGACGGAGCUGGCUGCCGGGUCGGGAAAGGGGGAAGCCGAUGCGGAGAAAGCGAUGAAGGCGAGGGGUGGUGGAACGUCGGUGCUCAUGGAGCACAGACGCGAGAACGGCGGCCUCAUGUCGGCUUCGAUGACUGGUGGGGAGUACUACGACCUCGGCGAGAUGAUGUGCAUCAACGCAGGAGAAUGCGACGACGAUGGCGAUUACGACGAAGACGGUGAUUUCUUGGACGGUAUGCAAUACUAG
rnacentral:rRNA from 1 species